UGAGUGUGGGCCUCAAAGAUGGGAUAGGCUACGUCGUCGCUACACGCGCCUACAUAGGCGACGAUCGCUAGGGCGGUCUGAGAGGAUGAUUCAGGCACACUGGGACUGAGACCACGUCAGACUCUUACCGGGAGGCAGCAGUGGGGAAUAUUGACCAAUUGGGGGCAACCUGAUCGCAGCCAUGCCGCGUGGUAUGAAGAAGGCCUUAUGGGUGUAAGCACUUUACAGGCGAGGGAGGAAGGGUAGAUCUAGUUAAUAACCAGGGAUCGAGUGGACGUUACUCGCAGAAUAAGCACCCGGCUACUCUGUGCCAGCAGCCGCGGUAAUACAGAGGGUGCGAGCGUUAAUCGGAUUUACUGGGCGUAAAGCGCGCGUAGGCGGUCUAUCAAGUCGGAUGUGAAAUCCCCGAGCUCAACUUGGGAACUGCAUUCGAUACUGGCGGGCUAGAGUAUGGGAGAGGAUGGUAGAAUUCCAGGUGUAGCGGUGAAAUGCGUAGAGAUCUGGAGGAAUACCGAUGGCGAAGGCAGCCAUCUGGCCUAAUACUGACGCUCAGGUACGAAAGCAUGGGGAGCAAACAGGAUUAGAUACCCUGGUAGUCCAUGCCGUAAACGAUGUCUAUUAGGAGGUGGUGCCUUUGAGGCGUUAGUGGCGCAGCUAACGCGAUAAGUAGACCGCCUGGGGAGUACGGUCGCAAGAUUAAAACUCAAAUGAAUUGACGGGGGCCCGCACAAGCGGUGGAGCAUGUGGUUUAAUUCGAUGCAACGCGAAGAACCUUACCUGGCCUUGACAUACUCGAAACUUUCCAGAGAUGGAUUGGUGCCUUCGGGAAUUUAGAUACAGGUGCUGCAUGGCUGUCGUCAGCUCGUGUUGUGAGAUGUUGGGUUAAGUCCCGCAACGAGCGCAACCCUUUUCCUUACUUGCCAGCAUUUCGGAUGGGAACUCAAAGGAUACUGCCAGUGACAAACUGGAGGAAGGCGGGGACGACGUCAAGUCAUCAUGGCCCUUACGGCCAGGGCUACACACGUGCUACAAUGGUCGGUACAAAGGGAAGCUACACAGCGAGAGCAAGCUAAUCUCAAAAAGCCGAUCGUAGUCCGGAUUGGAGUCUGCAACUCGACUCCAUGAAGUCGGAAUCGCUAGUAAUCGCGGAUCAGAAUGCCGCGGUGAAUACGUUCCCGGGCCUUGUACACACCCCCCCUCCCCCCCUGGGAAUUUGGUGCCCCAGAAGUAGGUAGCCUAACGCAAGGAGGCGCUACCAACGGUGAUCGCCAUU
rnacentral:rRNA from 1 species